ensembl:lncRNA
ACAACCCUGGACGGCGCAACAGUAGUGUUAGAAAGAGAAGGACUACUCUCUCAGGAUAGAAGCUCCAAUGAAGAGUUUGAUGAUCGCCUUCUGUCUAUCGGACCGUGUAUUACUACUGAUCACCAUGGCACUGAGAUCAAACUUUUGGGUGGCAAGCCAACAGAUGAAGGUAUCAAUAAUUUACUUGAUGAAGAGAAAGAUGUAGAACUGUACACAGGGCAGAUAAUUGAGGCUGUCACACAGGACUUACUAACAAGUGAGACUUCUUCCAGUACUGAAACAUCAAAGGAGAGGGUGUUUUCUGAAUGUGACCCUAAAAUUACAUGCAAAGAAACUGCUUCAGGAACGCACCUAGAUUGUGCUCAUCCUAGGAAAUCAGUGGAUCGUAUCUUGCAGGAUAAUAAACUGCAUAGUGUUAACACACCUAGGGAACUAUUACCCAGAAACACUCCACAACUGGCUAAUUCUGUUGCUUCCGUCUUGUAUCACAACAUGUUUGACAGUGAAUCCUCCAGACAAUCCACACAUUACUCCAGCUCUCAGAUCAGCUGUGAUGUUAGUUUGUGUGAGACCACCACGGAACAGGAACUGAAAGAAUUUACACAGCCCUUGUCAGGGUCUGUCAUAAAUCUCCUCAAAGACAUGUUUGGAGAGAAAGCCCAGACUCUGAAAACGACCAAGGACCCAAUCCAGCUCAUCACAAACCCAACUUCAGAGACACUCUUCUUUAUGCCCCACGUCAACAAUAAAGACACAGUUGUGCACAAAAUUGCCAUUGAAGACCUGUGUGCAAUGGAUGCCAUGAAGAAUAUGAUUCCUCCUAACGACUCAAAGAGGGUUAAGACCCCAUCCGCCCCUAGGACCAAAAGUGAGAGAUUCUCUCGGCCCUCAAGUCCAACUCAUAACCUCUUACUGGCAGUUGUAGAAAAACUGGUCAAGAAAAUGACUGUUCACAGUCUCAGCAUCCCAGAGGCUUCCAAUGAGGCUGCCUGCAAACAGUUAUCAUGUUGUUCUCCAAAUGGACCUCUUUCAGAGUUUCAGCAUCAACUGAUUUCUAGGCUCUGCCCUGUGCUUGUGUCUGACAUUAUGGAAUCGCUUUCCAGUGAAAUCGUCAGCCCUGAUGAUUUAGGUGAAUCAGCUUGCCAAUCACCUGUGCAAGUUAUCGAAGAUGGAAUGGUAAGGUCUGGAAACGCAAGUGCCGACGUCUCAAAUCAUUGUGUUCAAGAGGACACCUGUGUCCAAGAGGGCAACGGUAUAGCCAGUGAGAGAGUGACCGAUGAAUCUGUUGAUAUUCUGGAAAGGGCUGUGUAUGACAUUGAGUCUGCGAUGACUGAUGCUGCAAAACAGUCUUGCUCUAGCCUUCCAUCCAAAACAGAUGUCGUCGUAGACGUCAUCACUAAGCUGAUCUCUGAUAUUGAGUCUGGCAGUAACUCACCGACACAUCUCACGAACAUGGCAGUUGACAUGGUGGUAACGGUGUUGGAUGAUCUAUCAGAGGAUACUAAAAUGAUUUCAAUUCCAGCAUCUCCUGACCACUUUCAUUCUCAAGUGAAAUACACCAGGCCCCCAAGUUGUAGGAUCGUAAGCAGUGUUCGCAAGGAGCUUGAGGAACAGAUUGGUUCCGCUGAUUCCCUCAAGCGAGCUCUAAACUCUGAAAGCACAGAAGUCACCAAGGCCAUCUCGAGUGCCGUUGCAAGGGAAGUCUCUACACUCCUUUCAGAAUCAGUAGCUCGUCACAUAGCCUUUACUUCCAGCUCUGACUCUCUGUUAAGCGCACCUGCUACGACCUUGGCACCUGCCGUGCGACCACUAACUGCUGUCAUCAGACCUGACGUCCCUAACGACCCUGACUGUUUGGCUAAUCCCUACCACAGAUGUGCAUCUUCCAUGGAUACCAAGCCUUUAAUGAUGAUGGUGCACCUUGGGACAGUCAAGGAUAUUGUCAGCAGACUCCUGUUACACCUGUUACCGAUGGGUUUAAAGGACUUUAACCUGGCUGACUGCAGCCUCUUUGACACCAUCUUCUCUGAACUUUCUUCCAGUCUCUUUUUGAGUGUUUCCAGGAACAAACAGAAGGCCACUGUUUGCCUGGACUCUGUUGAGGUCUGUCAGGUUGUCCUCAUGGUCUAUAAACAGUUAAUCAAAAUGUAUGGUUCUCCAGAACAUCUUGAGAGCCUGACAUUUGCAAAGUGCCCCGAGUUUUAUUCCUGCAUUUCAAAACUCAUUGUGGAAGGCAUCUUAAAGUCACCCCCGAGGCAGCCCUCUGGAAUGAAGGAAACCAGAGCAGUGUGCUCCUCAAAUGCGACUGUCUCCACUGAUGUUCCCAGGACACCAAAGGAGCAAACAGAGUGUGGAAGGAAACAGCAGACCAAGAUGAUGGCAACCAUUCAAGCAGAGCCAUAGAAUGCCACACCAAUGAAUACUCCUCAACCAUCACAGAGGAUUUUGUUUUGGGAUCUGCUAUGGGUGAGUGAUUUUCUUUGUUAAAAAGUCUUGGUAGUAACCAUUUUAAAAAUCUUCCAGGGCUGGAUCAGUAAUGGCAGUAUGGAAUAGCUGAGAUUCAUAUGCUUGUGAUGAAUGGAUAGUUAUUAGUAGAGCAAAAAACUCUCUAAAGCCCACAAAUAUAAUUGUGUCUUUUGAUCACCAGGCAAAGACAAGAUACCCAAGAAGAAGGGCAGAGUUGGCCGUUUCUAUCAUCACAUAUUCAAGGGGGUUAGACGCAGCUUCACAAGCUGCACUUCAUC